CCGCCCCCAGUGACCUCUGACACCGGGCCCAGCUGCGGUGUCUGCCCGAGGAGCUGUCAGCGGGUCCUUUGGGAACAAAGUGAAAUAAUCGUUUGGGGACACGUCGGGCUCAACUGGCUCUGUGUGUUCUCCUGACAAAGCCCCUGUGGGCGCCCCAAGUCAAGGACACGGGCACUCCCACAGCCUCGUGAGCGGCCGCUGCUGAAGACAGCUCCACACACACAGAGCACCUCAUGAAGACCGUCCCCACCCCAGAAGUCCCACACGGGCUCCACCCAGCAUGAUGCCCUGCGCCCCGUGACGGCUCCACCACCCCUGCACGCGUCACCCAGCAGAUGUCAGUGUCCAGGGCUGACCAAUGACAUCACCGGCAGAGGCGAGGUGGAGGGCGGCCUGAAAGCUCGGAGUUGCUCCACAAGAGGAAACCGGGGCAGCGUUAGAUGCUGCUUUUCUUCUUUUCAGGAAGGAGCGCCUGGACCUGGACAGCACCACCCAGCCCUUUCUGCACAGCUGGGGAGAACAGAAAGUGCCACAGCUUGGCGAGAACAGAUACCGACCGUCGCCGCAGAUUCUCCCAGGUGCGGUUGUUUGUUGACUUCGUUUCCACGUACGUCGCUGGAAAAAUGCUGACUGCCACGCACACCCUUCCGUCGUGCCACAUUUCGGCUUUGUGCUCAGGUCGCCGCACCUCUGAGCGCAGGCCCUCCCCCUCCCCCGCGGGAGCCUGGUCCAGUGCUUCCUCCGGCCCCUGCCUGCUGGGACUGCCUCUCCUUGGGGACUGGACAUCACCCCUUUGCCCACCCUGCAUCCACCUGCCACGUGGGGGCCGCGCUGUGUCGACUGCAGAAAGGACACUUCUGUGGUCCGCCCACCCUGGGCUGUCCUGGACAGUGACCUUCAGGACAAUCUGCUGGUCCCACUGA
rnacentral:lncRNA from 1 species